AGGAGGUCAAGGCUGCAGUGAACUGUGAUCGCACCACUGCACUCCAGCCUGGGUAACAGAGCGAGACCUUGUCUCCAAAAAAAAAAAAGGCCACCAGCAAGCCUCUGAGGCCACAUGGCUGUGAGGGAUCAGAGACAUGGAUUCCUCCAGGCCCUGAGCCAAACCACGACUGCCUGGCAGCGUGACGCCCUUGGCCUUAAUGUGGAACAGGGUGAGGACGCAGCGGGAGAUGGAGGCUCAGGCCUUACCACUCACAGCAAACCUGAAUUCAAACCCACUGGGGAAGGGACGGCUUAAUCACGGAAAGCGAAUUCCAGAAUACUUGAAGUCACACUUAGGUUUCGGUUUUUUAACUUGAGCAGUUCCUCGAUACGCUCCAGAAGGAGCACCCCCAAUUGCCUUUCCACGGGGGAGCUCACUGCUCGGAGGCCACUCGGCGCUGGCUCUGAACACCUCCCCUGUGUGCCUCUAGUGGUGAUUUGUCCUGUCCAGGAAAAGAAAAAGUCGCUAUGUCAUUAGCUCCGGUGGACCUGAGCCUCAGGGCUGAAAGUUACAGUCAGGACUCAGCGCACAGAGCCCUGGGCUCACACCACGUCCACCUGUGACCACCUGCGGUCGUGGGCAAGUCCCUCUGCCUCCAACUCCCUGUCCUCUGGAAAGAGGGUUAGUAAUGUACCUACUGCAAGGCACGACAGCCAGGAUGUCACCAAAUCAGCCAUCUGAUUGGACGCUUAGAAGCAGUCGGGACUUUUGUGCUAGUGACACACUUGAUUCAGGAAGACGGGCUCCUGCCAGGCUCAGCCGGUGCCUGAGCUCCGGGGGGUGUGCACACCUCGACUGUCCAGGUCACACACGGUCCAGGGAUGUCAGGGAGAGGUAGAGCUGGGGAAAUGGAAACAGGCUGCUUGUUGGCACUGGGGAGGGUAUUUUGUUUCUUUUCGUGGGGAGCAUCCCUCUGUCUUGCAGUUUAAGUUACAAAGUGGAGCAAUAUGGUAACAAUAGUGAUUUUCUUUCACUAAGCUGACCAGAGCUUACACAUUUUUUAUCCACCCACCUAUCCAUCCAUUUAUCCAACUGGCCAUCCACCCAUCCAUCCAUCCACCCACCCACCCAUUUAUCCAUCCACCCAGUUAUCCAACCACCCAUCCACUUAUCCACAUAUCCAUCCAUCCAGCCAC
rnacentral:lncRNA from 1 species